UAAUCAGUUGUCUGCGUAUCUUUGAGCGUCAUUUUAUUGACCAAGACAGAAGACACUUGAAAGUCUGCAAUGGAGGCACUGAUUUACUGCUGCAUUGGGUUGAGUCAGUCAGUCAGUCAAGAUGGCAAGUUACAUGUCCUAAUUAACACACAGUUUAAUGCUCCAGUGAACUUCUGUGGUAGUCUGCAUAUAGACUUUUAACUGGAAAAUAGCUAGGUGACUGGUGGUGAACAGUAAUCUUAUAUUUACAGACAUGAUAUGUGCUUUGGCAAAGUGGGUGGGGUUAUAUCCUGCCUGUUUGGCCCUGUCCGGGGGUAUCAUUGGAUGGGGCCACAGUGUCUCCUGACCCCUCCUGUCUCAGCCUCCAGUAUUUAUGCUGCAGUAGUUUAUGUGUCGGGGGGCUAGGAGGACCUGAGCCCUAGGACCAUGCCUCAGGACUACCUGGCAUGAUGACUCCUUGCUGUCCCCAGUGCACCUGGCCGUGCUGCUGCUCCAGUUUCAACUGUUCUGCCUGCGGCUAUGGAACCCUGACCUGUUCACCGGACGUGCUACCUGUCCCAGACCUGCUGUUUUCAACUCUCUAGAGACAGCAGGAGCGGUAGAGAUACUCUCAAUGAUCGGCUAUGAAAAGCCAACUGACAUUUACUCCUGAGGUGCUGACUUGUUGCACCCUUGACAACUACUGUGAUUAUUAUUAUUUGACCAUGCCGGUCAUUUAUGAACAUUUGAACAUCUUGGCCAUGUUCUGUUAUAAUCUCCACCCGGCACAGCCAGAAGAGGAAUGGCCACCCCUCAUAGCCUGGUUCCUCUCUAGGUUUCUUCCUAGGUUUUGGCCUUUCUAGGGAGUUUUUCCUAGCCACCGUGCUUCUACACCUGCAUUACUUACUGUUUGGGGUUUUAGGCUGGGUUUCUGUACAGCACUUUGAGAUAUCAGCUGAUGUAAGAAGGGCUAUAUAAAUAAAUGUGAUUUGAUUUGAUAUGUACUUUUGUUAUUCGUUAUUCACUGUGUAUUUAUUCCAAUUGUGCAUUUCACUGUUAGUUUACGCCUGUUGUUUACGAAGCAUGUGACAAAUAACAUUUCAUUUGAUCUAG
rnacentral:lncRNA from 1 species